AUUGAACGCUAACGGCGUGCUUAACACAUGCAAGUCGAACGGCAGCACAGUAUGUAGCAAUACAUAUGGGUGGCGAGUGGCUGACGGGUGAGUAAUACGUAGGAAUCUACCUUGUAGUGGGGGAUAACCCGGGGAAACUCGGGCUAAUACCGCAUAAUCUUUACGAAGCAAAGAGGGCCUCUGAAUAUGCUCUUGCUAAAAGAUGAGCCUACGUCGGAUUAGCUAGUUGGUGGGGUAAAGGCCUACCAAGGCGACGAUCCGUAGCUGGUCUGAGAGGAUGAUCAGCCACACUGGGACUGAGACACGGCCCAGACUCCUACGGGAGGCAGCAGUGGGGAAUAUUGGACAAUGGGCGAAAGCCUGAUCCAGCAACGCCGUGUGUGUGAAGAAGGCCUUAGGGUUGUAAAGCACUUUCAGUGGGGAAGAAAAGUUCAAGGCUAAUACCCUUGAAUCUUGACGUUACCCACAGAAGAAGCACUGGCUAACUCUGUGCCAGCAGCCGCGGUAA
rnacentral:rRNA from 1 species